AUGUUCCCAGGAAGUACCAGUCAUUUACAAUUCAACCAAAAGUGGUGGGAAUUAAAUGUUACAAUUGACCCACAACAGAUAUGUGUAUUUAUUUUACCACAGUACCCUCUGAUAUGUGUAUUUAUACUACCACAGUACCCUCUGAUAUGUGUAUUUAUACUACCACAGUACCCUCUGAUAUGUGUAUUUAUACUACCACAGUACCCUCUGAUAUGUGUAUUUAUACUACCACAGUACCCUCUGAUAUGUGUAUUUAUACUACCACAGUACCCUCUGAUAUGUGUAUUUAUUUUACCACAGUACCCUCUGAUAUGUGUAUUUAUACUACCACAGUACCCUCUGAUAUGUGUAUUUAUACUACCACAGUACCCUCUGAUAUGUGUAUUUAUACUACCACAGUACCCUCUGAUAUGUGUAUUUAUACUACCACAGUACCCUCUGAUAUGUGUAUUUAUACUACCACAGUACCCUCUGAUAUGUGUAUUUAUACUACCACAGUACCCUCUGAUAUGUGUAUUUAUACUACCACAGUACCCUCUGAUAUGUGUAUUUAUACUACCACAGUACCCUCUGAUAUGUGUAUUUAUUUUACCACAGUACCCUCUGAUAUGUGUAUAUAUACUACCACAGUACCCUCUGAUGUGUAUUUAUACUACCACAGUACCCUCUGAUAUGUGUAUUUAUACUACCACAGUACCCUCUGAUAUGUGUAUAUAUACUACCACAGUACCCUUUAUGUGUAUUUAUACUACCACAGUACCCUCUGAUAUGUGUAUUUAUACUACCACAGUACCCUUUAUGUGUAUUUAUACUACCACAGUACCCUCUGAUGUGUAUUUAUACUACCACACAACCCUCUGAUAUGUGCACUUAUACUACCACAGUAGCCUCUGAUAUGUGUAUUUAUACUACCACAGUACCCUCUGAUAUGUGUAUUUAUACUACCACAGUAGCCUCUGAUGUGUAUUUAUACUACCACAGUACCCUCAGAUAUGUGUAUUUAUACUACCACAGUACCCUCUGUUAUGUGUAUUUAUACUACCACAGUACCCUCUGAUAUGUGUAUUUAUACUACCACAGUACCCUCUGAUAUGUGUAUUUAUACUACCACAGUACCCUCUGAUAUGUGUUUUUAUACUAUCACAGUACCCUCUGAUAUGUGUAUUUAUACUACCACAGUACCCUCUGAUAUGUGUAUUUAUACUACCACAGUACCCUCUGAUAUGUGUAUUUAUACUACCACAGUACCCAACCCUCUGAUAUGUGUAUUUAUACUACCACAGUACCCUCUGAUAUGUGUAUUUAUACUACCACAGUACCCUCUGAUAUGUGUAUUUAUACUACCACAGUACCCUCUGAUAUGUGUAUUUAUACUACCACAGUACCCUCUGAUAUGUGUAUUUAUACUACCACAGUACCCUCUGAUAUGUGUAUUUAUACUACCACAGUACCCUCUGAUAUGUGUAUUUAUACUACCACAAUACCCUCUGAUAUGUGCACUUAUACUACCACAGUACCCUCUGAUAUGUGUAUUUAUACUACCACAGUACCCUCUGAUAUGUGUAUUUAUACUACCACAGUACCCUCUGAUAUGUGUAUUUAUACUACCACAAUACCCUCUGAUAUGU
ensembl:lncRNA